GACGAACGCUGGCGGCGUGCCUAAUACAUGCAAGUCGAGCGAACGGACGAGAAGCUUGCUUCUCUGAUGUUAGCGGCGGACGGGUGAGUAACACGUGGAUAACCUACCUAUAAGACUGGGAUAACUUCGGGAAACCGUAGCUAAUACCGGAUAAUAUUUUGAACCGCAUGGUUCAAAAGUGAAAGACGGACUUGCUGUCACUUAUAGAUGGAUCCGCGCUGCAUUAGCUAGUUGGUAAGGUAACGGCUUACCAAGGCAACGAUGCAUAGCCGACCUGAGAGGGUGAUCGGCCACACUGGAACUGAGACACGGUCCAGACUCCUACGGGAGGCAGCAGUAGGGAAUCUUCCGCAAUGGGCGAAAGCCUGACGGAGCAACGCCGCGUGAGUGAUGAAGGUCUUCGGAUCGUAAAACUCUGUUAUUAGGGAAGAACAUAUGUGUAAGUAACUGUGCACAUCUUGACGGUACCUAAUCAGAAAGCCACGGCUAACUACGUG
rnacentral:rRNA from 1 species